CCUCUAGCCACUUCCGGUUGCUAACGGUUCCCAAACAGCCCCCGAAAACGCUACGUGAGCUGGGCCCUGGGCCAGAGGCAGAAAACGGACGGAAGAAAAGGUCUGGCCGAUGGAGUUUCUGCUCUUGUUGCCCAGGCUGGAGUAUAAUGGCACGAUGAUCUCGGCUCACCGCAACCUCCGCCUCCUGGGUUCAAGCAAUUUUCCUGCCUCAGCUUCCUGAGUAGCUGGGAUUACAGGCAUGCACCACCAGGCCUGGCUAAUUUUGUAUUGUUAGUAGAGACCCUGACCAUGAUGGUCGGGAUGGUCUGGAACUCCCGACCUCAGAUGAUCCACCCACCUCGGCCUCCCAAAGUGCUGGGAUUACAGGCUUGAGCCACUGUGCCCGGCCACAUGUAGCAUUUCUAAGUAGAAUUUUAUUGUGUAUGAUGUGGAAGAGUCGUAGAAAUCUGAUUAUUUUCCUAUAGAGCAGGGGUUCUCAACUGGGGGUGAUUUUGCCUCUCAGGGGACAUUUGCCUCACUCAGCCUGCCCACCAAAUUGCCUGGAGACAUUUUUGGAUAUCACAAGUGGGAAGUGCUAGUGACAUCUAGUGGGUAGACGCCAGGGAUACUGCUAAACAUCCUACAGUGCAGAGGACAGCCCCUACAUCAAAGAAUUGUCUGGCCCAGAAUGUCAAUAGAAAUAGUUUCUCAAGGUUGAGAAACCUUGCUCUAGAGGAUCUGAAUAAGAAAGACUGACAUACCCACUCUUUUAAAACCUCAGCCUAACUCCCUUGUGAUAUUACCAUGGGAAAAACAGGUUGUUUUGAAGCAUUUCAGUUUCCAUUUGUUUCCACUGUUGAUGGAUUUUGUGAUCAGACUAAAAUAGAAUAAUUUCAUGCUCAAGAUGAGAAUGUAGACCAUUUAAUAAAGAUAAUAUAGUGUGUGCUGUACACGUAAGACUCAAAGCACCUUGGGAUCAGGAGCUGGUCUUUUUACCUUUAUAUGGCUUGUAUCAUAUGAUCCACUGUCUCCAACAAUUGAUGCCAAUAUAUUAGAAUCACUUGUCUAUCUUUCCUAUCUCCAUCCCUUGUUUUAUAGUUGUUCCUCUUUUCAUCCUUUUCUUUUCAUCAAAUUAUUAUCUUUUCAUCCCUUUCUCAUUUUCCCCCUCUUCAUCAAUACCCACUGAUACCUCCUAUAGACCCUCCCUCAACACUCAUCUAUUUCUUCCAUUCAUACCUGUUGACACCCUUACUUAGAAUUGCCAGUUCACUACCAACCCAUCUGUGUCUGAGAGAGCUGUCCCCCAUAUUCCCUAUAGCUGUCUGUUGUAAUUACUGUCUUGUUAGUCCACGAAACUACAAAAUAUAAAUUCUUGCCUCCUCCCUCAGAAAAAAAAAACCCUCCAAAAAGAUAUGAAGAACAAUAACACAUUUGCUUUUGACACAACUCUCUGAGGAACUGCUUUCCAUGUUCAGGUUUUUUUUUUGUUUUGUUUUGUAUUUUUUUUUUUCAGACCAGGUGCUGUCCAUUCAGGAUAGCUCUCUGCUAGAACUGAUAGUGUCCAACAUAUUACACCUCCUCUUCCAAGAAGUGUGGCUGUGAUUGAGCUGUGUUCUUUCCAACUAGUUGCACUCCCACCAGUUUCUUCUGUGGGUUUCUACAUGCUUACUAAGACAUUGCCUGCAUCUCCAGAGUACCAGCAACUACUUAGAUUUUCUUUGACCUCAUGCCUCUUUUGCCUUUUGCCUGCAGUUAUCCUAGAUCCCACUGACUGUUCUUCUCUUACCUACAUCAUUCUAGGCUGUCUCUGGCCCCAUGUCUUUAUGUCCCUCCCUGACUCUUACCAUUACCCUUCUGGUUAACAUUAGACCAAACCUGUGGUGGGCACUGUGGUGGCAAUUUGGAAUCAACAUAAAACCUAAAAAGGGUACAAUGGUUAUAGUGCUCCAGACUACUCUUCACUCAGCCUUUAAGGGUGCAGGACUCUAAGACUAGAACAGUUCUUUGUACAUAAUAGGUAUUCAAA
rnacentral:lncRNA from 1 species